rnacentral:rRNA from 1 species
UGGGGGAUAUUGCACAAUGGGCGAAAGCCUGAUGCAGCGACGCCGCGUGGGGGAUGAAGGCCUUCGGGUUGUAAACUUCUUUUGCUCUGAACAAGGCGCACCAUGGGGUGUGUUGAGUGUAGGGGUUGAUUAGCGCCGGCUAACUACGUGCCAGCAGCCGCGGUAAUACGUAGGGCGCGAGCGUUGUCCGGAAUUAUUGGGCGUAAAGGGCUUGUAGGUGGCUGGUUGCGUCUGACGUGAAAGCUCAUGGCUUAACUGUGGGUUUGCGGUGGGUACGGGCUGGCUUGAGUGCAGUAGGGGAGGCUGGAAUUCCUGGUGUAGCGGUGGAAUGCGCAGAUAUCAGGAGGAAUACCGGUGGCGAAGGCGGGUCUCUGGGCUGUUACUGACACUGAGGAGCGAAAGCAUGGGGAGCGAACAGG